rnacentral:rRNA from 1 species
AUACGGAGGAUGCGAGCGUUAUCCGGAUUUAUUGGGUUUAAAGGGAGCGUAGGUGGGAUAUUAAGUCAGCUGUGAAAGUUUGGGGCUCAACCUUAAAAUUGCAGUUGAUACUGGUUUCCUUGAGUACGGUACAGGUGGGCGGAAUUCGUGGUGUAGCGGUGAAAUGCUUAGAUAUCACGAAGAACUCCGAUCGCGAAGGCAGCUCACCGGGCCGGAACUGACACUGAUGCUCGAAAGUGCGGGUAUCAAACAGGAUUAGAUACCCUGGUAGUCCGCACAGGAAACGAUGAAUACUCGCUGUUUGCGAUACACUGUAAGCGGCCAAGCGAAAGCGUUAAGUAUUCCACCUGGGGAGUACGCCGGCAACGGUGAAACUCAAAUGAAUUGACGGG